ensembl:lncRNA
GUGAAAAAGCCGAAACUAAAUCAGACAGACUGAGUGUUACAGUGAACUGUUCUCUGGUUAUAAAGAACGUCACAGUUGAGGAUGUUGGUUUUUAUUACUGUAUACAAUACAAAUCAGAAGAAGCACAUGUUCAGGAUGCUCGGGAACGUGAGGCACUGGUUGUUCUCUCUGUCAUUACUGUAACUGAACAUGAGGACACAGAUCAGGUCGUUUUAACCUGCUCUGUGUCGACAUCUGAUGAGUGUCAUCACACAGUGAAGUGGCGCAUUAAGGGUCAAUAUGUGGACAAAGGUAACAAACAAACAGUGACUGCACAAACUGACUGCUCCACCACUCUGUCCUUUCUGGAGUCUGGCAAUAUUUACCCAUCAAGAUAUAACAUAGUGUGUGAAGUAAUGGAUACUGAUACAGGAAAAGUGCAGCAGUACACCUUCAAGCAUCAGCUCUUGGCAGUUGAGGAAACAGAUUUUUCUGUAUCUUCAAGGUUCAUUAUUGUCUCUGUGGGCUUAGCAGCACUUUCAAUAGCUGCUGUGACAGUCAACACAUGGACAAGAACUAAAGGGAACAAAACACAGAUGGAUAAAGUUGCCGUGCAUUUUAAUAAAGAAGAGGAUUAUGAUUCAAUAAAAUAAUAAGCAUCCGAAUCUCUGCUGUUUCUAUCAGAUUGUGCUGAUCAACAUCAACUCAACAGAAAAACUACUGUUAUAUUAUCAGUAUCAUCUCAGCUUUAUAGGUCACACCCUUAACCCUAUAAUGCCAUUUGUAUCAUAUUUGCUACAUGAGUUUCUGAGACUGCUAUCUCAUCAACACGAUCAAUACGUGCCAUAAUUUCAAAAUGUAAUAAACAAACCUCUGUUUUUUGUCUAAAAUUAACAUCGUUGUUAAGAAAAAGUUGCCAAAAAUGUAUCAAAUGUGACGCAAAAAAUAUAUAAUAAAUAUGUCAUAAAACUAUAUCAUAAAAAACAUGAUAUAGCAAAAAAAAUGUGGAUUUUGUUAUAAGGGUUAAUAAACAUCUCAGUUCCAAAAACUCAGAAUUUUCUGGCUUUUUUUUUUUUUUUUUUGAUGAGUUGGGUCUUACAGGG